UCCAGACUCCUACGGGAGGCAGCAGUGGGGGAUAUUGCACAAUGGGGGGAACCCUGAUGCAGCGACGCCGCGUGGGUGAAGGAGCGUUUCGGCGCGUAAAGCCCUAUCGGCAGGGAAGAAGGAGGACGGUACCUGACUAAGAAGCCCCGGCUAACUACGUGCCAGCAGCCGCGGUAAUACGUAGGGGGCAAGCGUUAUCCGGAUUUACUGGGUGUAAAGGGGGCGCAGACGGCAGCGCAAGCCAGGAGUGAAAGCCCGGGGCCCAACCCCGGGACUGCUCUUGGAACUGCGCGGCUGGAGUGCAGGAGGGGCAGGCGGAAUUCCUGGUGUAGCGGUGAAAUGCGUAGAUAUCAGGAGGAACACCGGUGGUGAAGGCGGCCUGCUGGACUGCGACUGACGUUGAGGCCCGAAAGCGUGGGGAGCAAACAGGAUUAGAUACCCGCGUAC
rnacentral:rRNA from 1 species